CAGCCCACUCCUUUUCUUUUCCCAUUAAUGUUUCCAGCCCACUUUUAGAUUCCCAGGCCCAUCUUUCCCAGCCUAGCUUACACCUUAACCCGACCCAACAACGUUUAUUCCCAGCCCUUUCCUUCGACCCAUCACUAUGUUGUCUUCUUCCUCUUCGCGACCCCGUCUCGCUUACGCGCAGAAACGCCAUUCUCUCUAAUAGACCUUUUCUUCCCUCUCUCGCGCAAGUCAAUAGAAACCAGUCCAUCGCGCGUGGAGGAAGGAGGCAACAACGGAUACCUGCACUUUGCUGAUGCCGUACGACCUCUGCAACACACAAGACGACGCGAAAUUGUCCUUGGCAUUGUAGGAUCGAGCCACAUCGCUUGCCAAGGACGAGGGAUCGAUCUCAACCCUCCACCUCCCCUUAAUUCCGUCCGAAUCGCGUGGAUUUUGGAUAAGGUUUUGAAAUUCGAAUUCCAAAUGGGCCGAAAGUCUUGGAAUUUCCUCGUCCUGCCCCCAAAAUCGAAAACCCUAGUAAUUCCCCUAUAAAUACCCUUUGCUUCGUUGGUUUCAGGGGAGAAUUUUUUUUUUUAUAGAAAGAUAUAUACAGAGGAUUUUUUUUUGUUUUUUGGGAAAAGAAAUUGUUCCAAACCCGGAAUUCUCUCUCGAAUUCUUUGCUACUGUGUACGUGCCGUUGCGUCGUCUUAUCUCAACUCGUCCUGUCCGCGGUAUCGCUGCUCGAAACAAGGUUCGAGCAAGCUUCAAGCUGGUCAGUACAAAGUAUGCAAGCGUUCCUCAUCUCUCGAUGUUCUUAAUUCUUACUCGUUUAGUUAUGGUUUGUGUUCUUCCGUCUAGAAUUUGUUUGAUAGUUGUUAGUAUAGCUUGCUUUAUAUUUUGUAAAUCAGUUAUCUAUUAGUGUUUUUUUUUUUUUGCAUGGUUCGGGUAGUGAAGACAUAUAUAUAUACAAAGCAUAUUUGAUACUUUAUCAUCUAUUGUCAUGCCCAGUAUUUGUUUGAAAUACCCCUUUGGAAAAUUUAAAUUUAUUUGGGUUAUCCUUAUACCUUAGCAGUUGCCUUGAUGUUGUUUAAGCCCUUCUGUGGGUCAUUAAUUGUAUGCACCCAUGAGUAUGAUUAUAGUUGGCAGUAUAUGCAUUUUCCUCCUUUUUUUUUAGGUUUGGAUGGUGCCAUCUUUGGUUUACAUGGGUUUCCUUUAGAACCAUGCAUUCUUGCUUAUUGCGUAAUGGUUUGUAAAGUUUGCUUUAGUUCAAGACAUGUUUCGUUGUUAUAUUAUCUCAUGGGCUAAUCCAUUUUUGUUUUAUUGCAUGUGAAACUAUUCUCGAGUCCUCAUGGACUUCGCUCCAAUCCCUUGCACUUUCUCGUUGAGCCAUAAAGGAUCAAAACAUCCUCCCCGAGUCGUAGACCCUCUCAAAACUGGUGUACAGGUCGAAAACAGCAAAUAUGGUGCUGUAAAAUUAUAUUUUCAGGUGUUGAAGAAGCCGUAUACCAGCUAUAUACAUAUUUUAUACACCCAUAUACAGGUCAAAAUACGUACAGGAAGCCAAAUGCGAAACCUGAGUUGAUAACAGUCCAGAUAUACUUCUGGAAAUUAUUUUUCUGCUGUCGAAAGUUGAAGAACAGGUCGAUAUACAACCUGUAUACACUGAUAUACAAAUGUUUUAUACCAAAUAGGUGUAAAAAAUACGAAUUGCAGGUUUAACGUACAGGGAUGCCGAAUUUGAGUAAAAUUCAGGAACAACGAAUUAAAACGCGCAUAGGGUACAAAUGCGCUGAAAUAAUAUGGAAAAUAUAGGUGGAAUCGCGAGAAUUCAUUUUCAAACAAAAUACAGGGCUCAAAAAGUCCAAAAUGGACCGGAUAUAUAUAUCGUAUACAGCGGUAUACAUCAGUUAUAUACCCUAAUUCUCUUUUUUCAGGAAAAAUGGGCCAGGGCCCAUCAACAGAAUUUAAGGAAAUAGGCCCAAAGGCCAUAUAUUGUUUCAGACAUGAUUUGAAUUGUUGAAAAGGGCCCAAGCCUAUAUUCUUGAAAUAUGUAGUGUAGGACAGGUGGGCCAAAGCCCAAUUUACUGAAUUUUGGCAAUUAGCCCAAGUUCAAAUAAUAUUCCCUUCUCACCCUCUUUUAUUUAUUAUUGAUUUGGAUUGACUAACAUUUGGUGGAAUUUUAUUAAUCUCUUAAAGGGCCACCAUUUUUUGUAUAACUUACAUAAAUGCCAUAGUGUAAAAUCUAAAUUACCUUCUA